UAAGCCUGUGAAGGUGUGUCGUGAGGCAUGCUGGAGGUAUCAGAAGUGCGAAUGCUGACAUAAGUAACGAUAAAGCGGGUGAAAAGCCCGCUCGCCGGAAGACCAAGGGUUCCUGUCCAACGUUAAUCGGGGCAGGGUGAGUCGACCCCUAAGGCGAGGCCGAAAGGCGUAGUCGAUGGGAAACGGGUUAAUAUUCCCGUACUUGGUGUUACUGCGAAGGGGGGACGGAGAAGGCUAUGUUGGCCGGGCGACGGUUGUCCCGGUUUAAGCGUGUAGGUGUGUGUUCCAGGUAAAUCCGGUUCACUUUAACACUGAGGCGUGACGACGAGGCACUACGGUGCUGAAGCAACAAAUGCCCUGCUUCCAGGAAAAGCCUCUAAGCAUCAGGUAACAUCAAAUCGUACCCCAAACCGACACAGGUGGUCAGGUAGAGAAUACCAAGGCGCUUGAGAGAACUCGGGUGAAGGAACUAGGCAAAAUGGUGCCGUAACUUCGGGAGAAGGCACGCUGACACGUAGGUGAAGUGAUUUACUCAUGGAGCUGAAGUCAGUCGAAGAUACCAGCUGGCUGCAACUGUUUAUUAAAAACACAGCACUGUGCAAACACGAAAGUGGACGUAUACGGUGUGACGCCUGCCCGGUGCCGGAAGGUUAAUUGAUGGGGUCAGCGCAAGCGAAGCUCCUGAUCGAAGCCCCGGUAAACGGCGGCCGUAACUAUAACGGUCCUAAGGUAGCGAAAUUCCUUGUCGGGUAAGUUCCGACCUGCACGAAUGGCGUAAUGAUGGCCAGGCUGUCUCCACCCGAGACUCAGUGAAAUUGAACUCGCUGUGAAGAUGCAGUGUACCCGCGGCAAGACGGAAAGACCCCGUGAACCUUUACUAUAGCUUGACACUGAACAUUGAGCCUUGAUGUGUAGGAUAGGUGGGAGGCUUUGAAGUGUGGACGCCAGUCUGCAUGGAGCCGACCUUGAAAUACCACCCUUUAAUGUUUGAUGUUCUAACGUGGACCCGUGAUCCGGGUUGCGGACAGUGUCUGGUGGGUAGUUUGACUGGGGCGGUCUCCUCCUAAAGAGUAACGGAGGAGCACGAAGGUUGGCUAAUCCUGGUCGGACAUCAGGAGGUUAGUGCAAUGGCAUAAGCCAGCUUGACUGCGAGCGUGACGGCGCGAGCAGGUGCGAAAGCAGGUCAUAGUGAUCCGGUGGUUCUGAAUGGAAGGGCCAUCGCUCAACGGAUAAAAGGUACUCCGGGGAUAACAGGCUGAUACCGCCCAAGAGUUCAUAUCGACGGCGGUGUUUGGCACCUCGAUGUCGGCUCAUCACAUCCUGGGGCUGAAGUAGGUCCCAAGGGUAUGGCUGUUCGCCAUUUAAAGUGGUACGCGAGCUGGGUUUAGAACGUCGUGAGACAGUUCGGUCCCUAUCUGCCGUGGGCGCUGGAGAACUGAGGGGGGCUGCUCCUAGUACGAGAGGACCGGAGUGGACGCAUCACUGGUGUUCGGGUUGUCAUGCCAAUGGCACUGCCCGGUAGCUAAAUGCGGAAGAGAUAAGUGCUGAAAGCAUCUAAGCACGAAACUUGCCCCGAGAUGAGUUCUCCCUGAGACUUAAAGUCUCCUGA
rnacentral:rRNA from 1 species